GAAGGAGAUGGCAGGCGUUUGGCCACAUAGCUACUUCCAGAUGUCCGCCAUAAAUGCUCUGUACUUGCUUAGUUUCCAGGAACAUAAAACCCGCUGUCAACGGACUUGCCCAGAGCCUGUAUUUGCUGCAUUUUUGUUCUUGUUUAGUUAUUACAUUAAGUCUCCUGUGAUUACAGAGCCGACAGCUGGUUUCAGGAGGAAUUAAGACUCAAGGGCUACUGUGAAGCGACCAGCAUUCUGGCCACCAGAGCCUGCGAGCCACAUCUACUGAAGCCCGCAUGUCUAGAGUCCGUGCUCUGCAACAAGAGAAGCCACCACAAUGAGAAGCCCGCGCACCGCAACAAAGAGUAGCCCCUGCUCUCCGCAACUAGAGAAAGCCCGCGCGCAGCAACAAGGACCCAACGCAGCCAAAAAUAAAUAAAUAAAUAAAUUUAUAUUAAAAAAGUAACCAUCACAACUCUAAUGAACAGUGUUGCAGUGGACAUCCUUGUACCUAAGAGUCUUUGGUUGUGAAAAUAGUUCUGGGGAAUAAAUUUUCUGUGGUGUAAUGCCUGGGUUGAAGGGUUUGCCCAUUUACCAGUUUAAUCACUGUCACCAAGUUGCCCUUCAAAGCUGCUGAGCAAUUUGCACUCCGUAGCUUCCCUGAUGUCGAAUAUUAUUAACCUUUAGAAUUUUUGACAAGUGAACAAGGGGAAGCUAGCACUUCACUGUUUUAACUUAUGGAUCGUUGAUUAUCAGUUUAGAAGCCAUUUGUAUACUUCUGAAAUUGCAGUUGUAUGCCCUUUCCUCAAUUUUGGGGGGUUAGGUUUCUGCAAUUUUUCAUAUGGAUUGAAGGACUUUUUUUUUUUAAUGCUUUUUUUUG